rnacentral:misc_RNA from 1 species
GGGGUGUGGUGUUUGAGUAUUGGAUAGUGGUUGCGAGCAUCUAGAUGAGCGCAUGGUCUUCGUGGCCGGCGUUCAUCGAAAUGUGUAAUUUCUUUUUUAACUCU